GGAAUCUUCCGCAAUGGACGAAAGUCUGACGGAGCAACGCCGCGUGAGUGAAGAAGGCCUUCGGGUCGUAAAACUCUGUUGCCGGGGAAGAACAAGUGCCGUUCGAACAGGGCGGCGCCUUGACGGUACCCGGCCAGAAAGCCACGGCUAACUACGUGCCAGCAGCCGCGGUAAUACGUAGGUGGCAAGCGUUGUCCGGAAUUAUUGGGCGUAAAGCGCGCGCAGGCGGUUUCUUAAGUCUGAUGUGAAAUCUUGCGGCUCAACCGCAAGCGGUCAUUGGAAACUGGGAGGCUUGAGUGCAGAAGAGGAGAGUGGAAUUCCACGUGUAGCGGUGAAAUGCGUAGAGAUGUGGAGGAACACCAGUGGCGAAGGCGGCUCUCUGGUCUGUAACUGACGCUGAGGCGCGAAAGCGUGGGGAGCAAACA
rnacentral:rRNA from 1 species